rnacentral:rRNA from 1 species
CCUACGGGAGGCAGCAGUGGGGAAUAUUGCACAAUGGGGGAAACCCUGAUGCAGCGACGCCGCGUGAGUGAAGAAGUAAUUCGUUAUGUAAAGCUCUAUCAGCAGGGAAGAACAUGACGGUACCUGAGUAAGAAGCCACGGCUAACUACGUGCCAGGAGCCGCGGGAAUACGUCGGGGGCAAGCGUUAUCCGGGGUUACUGGGUGUAAAGGGAGCGUAGACGGCAGGUCAAGUCUGGAGUGAAAGGCGGGGGCUCAACCCCCGGACUGCUCUGGAAACUGUACGGCUGGAGUGCCGGAGAGGUAAGUGGAAUUCCUAGUGUAGCGGUGAAAUGCGUAGAUAUUAGGAGGAACACCAGUGGCGAAGGCGGCUUACUGGACUGUAACUGACGUUGAGGCUCGAAAGCGUGGGGAGCAAACAGGAUUAGAUACCCCUGUAGUC